rnacentral:rRNA from 1 species
AAGCAUAUCAAUAAGCGGAGGAAAAGAAACCAACAGGGAUUGCCCCAGUAACGGCGAGUGAAGCGGCAACAGCUCAAAUUUGAAAUCUGGUCCCCAGGGCCCGAGUUGUAAUUUGUAGAGGAUGCUUUUGGCAAGGUGCCUUCCGAGUUCCCUGGAACGGGACGCCAUAGAGGGUGAGAGCCCCGUCUGGUCGGACACCGAGCCUCUGUAAAGCUCCUUCGACGAGUCGAGUAGUUUGGGAAUGCUGCUCAAAAUGGGAGGUAUAUGUCUUCUAAAGCUAAAUAUAGGCCAGAGACCGAUAGCGCACAAGUAGAGUGAUCGAAAGAUGAAAAGCACUUUGAAAAGAGGGUUAAAAAGUACGUGAAAUUGUUGAAAGGGAAGCGCUUAUGACCAGACUUGAGCCCGGUGAAUCAUCCAGCGUUCUCGCUGGUGCACUUUGCCGGGCACAGGCCAGCAUCAGUUUGGCGCGGGGGAUAAAGGCUUUGGGAAUGUGGCUCCCUCGGGAGUGUUAUAACCCAUUGCGUAAUACCCUGCGCUGGACUGAGGUACGCGCAUUCGUAAGGAUGCUGGCGUAAUGGUCAUCAGCGACCCGUCUUGAAACACGGACCAAGGAGUCGUCUUCGUAUGCGAGUGUUCGGGUGUUAAACCCCUACGCGUAAUGAAAGUGAACGCAGGUGAGAGCUUCGGCGCAUCAUCGACCGAUCCUGAUGUUCUCGGAUGGAUUUGAGUAAGAGCAUACGGGGCCGGACCCGAAAGAAGGUGAACUAUGCCUGUAUAGGGUGAAGCCAAGGAAACUCUGGUGGAGGCUCGCAGCGGUUCUGACGUGCGAAUCGAUCGUCAAAUAUGGGCAUGGGGCGAAAGACUAAUCGA